AUUGAACGCUGGCGGCAUGCCUUACACAUGCAAGUCGAACGGUAACGCGGGGCAACCUGGCGACGAGUGGCGAACGGGUGAGUAAUGUAUCGGAACGUGCCCAGUUGUGGGGGAUAACUGCUCGAAAGAGCAGCUAAUACCGCAUACGACCUGAGGGUAAAAGCGGGGGAUCGCAAGACCUCGCGCAAUUGGAGCGGCCGAUAUCAGAUUAGGUAGUUGGUGGGGUAAAGGCUCACCAAGCCAACGAUCUGUAGCUGGUCUGAGAGGACGACCAGCCAGACUGGGACUGAGACACGGCCCAGACUCCUACGGGAGGCAGCAGUGGGGAAUUUUGGACAAUGGACGCAAGUCUGAUCCAGCCAUGCCGCGUGCGGGAAGAAGGCCUUCGGGUUGUAAACCGCUUUUGUCAGGGAAGAAACGCUCUGGGUUAAUACCUCGGGGUAAUGACGGUACCUGAAGAAUAAGCACCGGCUAACUACGUGCCAGCCGCCGCCGUAAAAC
rnacentral:rRNA from 1 species